CCUACGCGUGGCUGCAGUAGGGAAUCUUCCACCAUGGGCGAAAGCCUGAUGGAGCAACGCCGCGUGGGUGAAGAAGGUCUUCGGAUCGUAAAACCCUGUUGUUAGAGAAGAACGUGCGUGAGAGUAACUGUUCACGUUUCGACGGUAUCUAACCAGAAAGCCACGGCUAACUACGUGCCAGCAGCCGCGGUAAUACGUAGGUGGCAAGCGUUAUCCGGAUUUAGUGGGGGUAAAGGGAACGCAGGCGGUCUUUUAAGUCUGAUGUGAAAGCCUUGGGCUUAACCGGAGUAGUGCAUUGGAAACUGGGAGACUUGAGUGCAGAAGCGGAGAGUGGAACUCCAUGUGUAGCGGUGAAAUGCGUAGAUAGAUGGAAGAACACCAGUGGCGAAAGCGGCUCUCUGGUCUGUAACUGACGCUGAGGUUCGAAAGCGUGGGUAGCAAACAGGAUUAGAUACCCCUGUAGUC
rnacentral:rRNA from 1 species